rnacentral:rRNA from 1 species
GAUGAACGCUGGCGGCGUGCCUAAUACAUGCAAGUCGAGCGAACGGACGAGAAGCUUGCUUCUCUGACGUUAGCGGCGGACGGGUGAGUAACACGUGGAUAACCUACCUAUAAGACUGGGAUAACUUCGGGAAACCGGAGCUAAUACCGGAUAAUAUUUUGAACCGCAUGGUUCAAUAGUGAAAGACGGUUUUGCUGUCACUUAUAGAUGGAUCCGCGCUGCAUUAGCUAGUUGGUAAGGUAACGACUUACCAAGGCAACGAUGCGUAGCCGACCUGAGAGGGUGAUCGGCCACACUGGAACUGAGACACGGUCCAGACUCCUACGGGAGGCAGCAGUAGGGAAUCUUCCGCAAUGGGCGAAAGCCUGACGGAGCAACGCCGCGUGAGUGAUGAAGGUCUUCGGAUCGUAAAACUCUGUUAUUAGGGAAGAACAUAUGUGUAAGUAACUAUGCACGUCUUGACGGUACCUAAUCAGAAAGCCACGGCUAACUACGUG